CAGUAGCCGCGGUAAUGCGAAGGGGGCUAGCGUUGCUCGGAAUGACUGGGCGUAAAGGGCGCGUAGGCGGCGAUCAAAGUCAGGCGUGAAAUUCCUGGGCUCAACCUGGGGGCUGCGUUUGAUACUUGAUUGCUAGAGUGGGGAAGAGGGUCGUGGAAUUCCCAGUGUAGAGGUGAAAUUCGUAGAUAUUGGGAAGAACACCGGUGGCGAAGGCGACGACCUGGUCCUUGACUGACGCUGAGGCGCGAAAGCGUGGGGAGCAAACAGGAUUAGAUACCCCCGUAGUCCCUGUCUCUUAUAC
rnacentral:rRNA from 1 species